CCACCAAUCAGGGACCCUCGCCGUUUUUAAAUAAGCCAAUAGCUAACUGCCACCUCUGCUUCUGUAUGCCUUUGCUUGCUUGCUAGAAAAUAUAAAUACCCAGUAGUCUGUAAGCCAGGCGCGACUUCCAUUUUGUAGCUCUGAGUAGUUACGUGACUCCGGUCACAGUUGGGGAGGUUCGCCCCUGCGCAGGAAAAUCUUUGGCCAUUAAAAUUUUUAUCAAUUCGGUUCCGGACUCCGAGAGUGUGUAUUUACCCGCUGAUCGUCUACAACAAUAACAAUGAUGUCGACUCCCUGGGGUUGUUACGGUGACUGGAUUACUUACGACCUUUGAAACAGUUGCCUGCCACAGAGCUGGCACGCAGACAUAGAGGAAGGGAGAGAGAAGAGAGGGAAAGAAACAUCGAUGUGUGGUUGCCCCUCUCAUGCUCACUGCCAGGGACCUGGCCCGCAACCCAGGCAUGUGCCCUGAUUGGGAAUCGAACUGGCGACCCUUUGGUUCACAGGCCUGCACAAAGUCCAAGAGAAGAAAAAAACACCAAUGUGAGAGAGAAACAUCAAUUGGUUGCCUGCUGUACAUCCUGACUAAGGAUUGAACCUGCAACCCAGGUAUAUGCCUUGACUGUCAAUC